UACGUAGGGCGCAAGCGUUACUCGGAAUUACUGGGCGUAAAGCGUGCGCAGGCGGUUAUGCAAGACAGAUGUGAAAUCCCCGGGCUCAACCUGGGAACUGCAUUUGUGACUGCAUGGCUAGAGUACGGUAGAGGGGGAUGGAAUUCCGCGUGUAGCAGUGAAAUGCGUAGAUAUGCGGAGGAACACCGAUGGCGAAGGCAAUCCCCUGGACCUGUACUGACGCUCAUGCACGAAAGCGUGGGGAGCAAACAGG
rnacentral:rRNA from 1 species